rnacentral:rRNA from 1 species
AUUGAACGCUGGCGGCAGGCUUAACACAUGCAAGUCGAGCGGGGAAGUAUAGCUUGCUAUACGACCUAGCGGCGGACGGGUGAGUAAUGCUUAGGAAUCUGCCUAUUAGUGGGGGACAACAUUCCGAAAGGAAUGCUAAUACCGCAUACGCCCUACGGGGGAAAGCAGGGGAUCUUCGGACCUUGCGCUAAUAGAUGAGCCUAAGUCAGAUUAGCUAGUUGGUGGGGUAAAGGCCUACCAAGGCGACGAUCUGUAGCGGGUCUGAGAGGAUGAUCCGCCACACUGGGACUGAGACACGGCCCAGACUCCUACGGGAGGCAGCAGUGGGGAAUAUUGGACAAUGGGCGAAAGCCUGAUCCAGCCAUGCCGCGUGUGUGAAGAAGGCCUUUUGGUUGUAAAGCACUUUAAGCGAGGAGGAGGCUACUUAGAUUAAUACUCUAGGAUAGUGGACGUUACUCGCAGAAUAAGCACCGGCUAACUCUGUGCCAGCAGCCGCCGCAGUA